rnacentral:tRNA from 1 species
AGCUAAUAAGCUUUAAAGCAUAUAUUUUGAAAGUAUAAGAUAAAAGAUUUAACUCUUUAUUAGCUU